rnacentral:rRNA from 1 species
AUGAACGCUGGCGGCGUGCCUAAUACAUGCAAGUCGAGCGAACAGAUGAGGAGCUUGCUCCGCUGACGUUAGCGGCGGACGGGUGAGUAACACGUGGAUAACCUACCUAUAAGACUGGGAUAACUGCGGGAAACCGGAGCUAAUACCGGAUAAUAUAUUUAACCGCAUGGUUCAAUAGUGAAAGACGGUUUUGCUGUCACUUAUAGAUGGAUCCGCGCCGCAUUAGCUAGUUGGUAAGGUAACGGCUUACCAAGGCAACGAUGCGUAGCCGACCUGAGAGGGUGAUCGGCCACACUGGAACUGAGACACGGUCCAGACUCCUACGGGAGGCAGCAGUAGGGAAUCUUCCGCAAUGGGCGAAAGCCUGACGGAGCAACGCCGCGUGAGUGAUGAAGGUCUUCGGAUCGUAAAACUCUGUUAUUAGGGAAGAACAAAUGUGUAAGUAACUAUGCACGUCUUGACGGUACCUAAUCAGAAAGCCACGGCUAACUACGUG